UACGUAGGGUGCGAGCGUUGUCCGGAUUCAUUGGGCGUAAAGAGCUCGUAGGCGGCUGCUCAAGUCGAAUGUGAAAACUCGAGGCUCAACCUCGAGCCUGCAUUCGAUACUGGGCGGCUAGAGUCUGGUAGGGGGAUCUGGAAUUCCUGGUGUAGCGGUGGAAUGCGCAGAUAUCUGGAGGAACACCGGUGGCGAAGGCGGCAUCCUGGACCAACACUGACGCUGAGUGAGCGAAAGCCAGGGGAGCAAACGGG
rnacentral:rRNA from 1 species